rnacentral:rRNA from 1 species
GCACGAAAGCGUGGGGAGCAAACAGGAUUAGAUACCCUNGUAGUNNACGCCCUAAACGAUGCUCACUAGGUGUUGGGGAAGCGAUUCCUUGGUACCGUAGCUAACGCGUGAAGUGAGCCGCCUGGGGAGUACGGCCGCAAGGUUAAAACUCAAAGGAAUUGACGGGGACCCGCACAAGCGGUGGAUGAUGUGGAUUAAUUCGAUGCAACGCGAACAACCUUACCUACCCUUGACAUGUCCGGAAGCCUGCUGAAAGGCGGGGGUGCUCGAAAGAGAACCGGAACACAGGUGCUGCAUGGCUGUCGUCAGCUCGUGUCGUGAGAUGUUGGGUUAAGUCCCGCAACGAGCGCAACCCUUGUCCUUAGUUGCUACGCAAGGGCACUCUAAGGAGACUGCCGGUGACAAACCGGAGGAAGGUGGGGAUGACGUCAAGUCCUCAUGGCCCUUAUGGGUAGGGCUUCACACGUCAUACAAUGGUCGGUACAGAGGGUCGCCAACCCGCGAGGGGGAGCCAAUCCCAGAAAGCCGAUCGUAGUCCGGAUCGCAGUCUGCAACUCGACUGCGUGAAGUCGGAAUCGCUAGUAAUCGUGGAUCAGCAUGUCACGGUGAAUACGUUCCCGGGUCUUGUACACACCGCCCGUCACACCAUGGGAGCGGGAUGUACCAGAAGUAGGUAGGCUAACCGCA